CUCUCCCUCAAUCGCACUGAACUCUCCUUCUCGAUCUCUCUCCCUCGAGAUCAUCUCUCUCUCAGCCCAAAAUCUACGGAAAAACCAGAAACCCCCUUGCUUUCCCUCUCUCUGUCGCUCUCCCUUGCUUGGUCCCUCUCUCCCUCGGCCAAAAAGGAGCCCCUCAAAAAGAGAGGAUGGAAGAAGAAGAAGAAGAAGAAGAAGGGGGGGUUUCGGCCUAGAGAGGAGGAAAGAGGAGAGAGAGAGAAGAAAAGAAAAAAGUUUGGGGAAGGCAGGAAGUGACGUGAGGAGGAAAAAGGGGAGAAAAGAAAGAGAGAGAGAGAAAAAGAAAGGGAAAAAGGGGGGAAGAAUCGGCAGAGGGGGGGAAAAUGAAAUCAC
rnacentral:lncRNA from 1 species